rnacentral:rRNA from 1 species
AUUGAACGCUGGCGGCAGGCUUAACACAUGCAAGUCGAGCGAGCGGCGGACGGGUGAGUAAUGUGUGGGAAACUGCCUGAUGGGGGGGGAUAACUACUGGAAACGGUCGCUUAUACCGCAUACCCUAAGAUGAGCCCAGCUGGGAUUGGCUAGUGGGUGGGGUAAUGGCUCACCUGGGCGACGAUCCCUAGCUGGUCUGAGUGGAUGACAGGCCACACGGGAACGGGGACACGGUCAAACUUCCUACGGGAGGCAGCAGUGGGGAAUAUUGGACAAUGGGCGAAAGCCUGAUGCAGCAAGGCGGCGUGUGUGAAGAAGGCCUUCGGGUUGUAAGGCACUUUCAGCGGGGAGGCGGUACCGGCAGAAGAAGCACCGGCUAACUCCGUGCCAGCCGCCGCGGUAAUAC